AUGGCUACCCGCCUCUCUGAUCUUAUUAGUGACCAUUCCAUUGACUUCCUAGGUUUACAAGAGACUUUGAAGAAAGAUUUCUCUCCCAAACUUAUUAGGAGACCUGACCCCUUUAAUAAUUUCCAUUGGGAGUGGGUGCCUGCUAUAGGCAAGCCUGGUGGUAUCAUGUGUGGUAUUCACACUAACACCCUCGAGAUGUUAAGUUGCAACGAAGGCAAGUAUAUCUUCUAGAUGAAUAUUAAAAAUAUUAAUACAAAUAUUGUCUGGAGCCUCUUAGUGGUGUAUGUCUCUGCUCAUGAGGAGCAUAGGGAAGAUUUCCUAAUGGAAUUGGCCUCCUUUUUCCAUAACACUGAUAUACCCUAUAUAGUGGGUGGGGACUUUAACAUCUUAAGGCAUAAUGGUGAAAAGAACAAAAAGAUGCAACACUCCAAGUCUAUGGACCUGUUCAACUCCAUUAUUAGUACUCUUGGCCUUAGAGAGAUUUAUAUGAGUGGGGGCAAAUAUACCUGGACAAAUAAUCGGUCUCAUCCUACUAUGGAGAAAUUGGAUAGGGUGCUGAUGUAUGAUUCCUGGGAGCAGUUGUUCCCCAUGGUCUCUAUGAUGAAACUGGUCAGCGAGUUAUCUGACCAUAACCCACUCCUUGUGUACACUGAUGAUGAGAAGAGAGAACCCUCCAAAACCCGAGAGUUUCAUUUUGAUCUCUCCUGGUUGAAAGAUGAUAGAUUCCUUGACCUGGUUGCUAGAAUUUGGAAUAGGAAAGUUGCAGCCUCAGACCCCAUUGACAUCCUAAAUAUUAAGCUCAAGAGAUUUAAAUCUUACUUCAAAGAUGUGGUUUGGAAAAAUUUGGACAUGCCAAGAGGCAUAAAGAAGAUCUGA
rnacentral:rRNA from 1 species